rnacentral:rRNA from 1 species
UACGGGGGGGGCAAGCGUUGUUCGGAAUUACUGGGCGUAAAGGGCUCGUAGGCGGCCAACUAAGUCAGACGUGAAAUCCCUCGGCUUAACCGGGGAACUGCGUCUGAUACUGGAUGGCUAGAGGUUGGGAGAGGGAUGCGGAAUUCCAGGUGUAGCGGUGAAAUGCGCAGAUAUCAGGAGGAACACCGGUGGCGAAGGCGGGUCUCUGGGCCGAUACUGACGCUGAGGAGCGAAAGCGUGGGGAGCGAACAGG